rnacentral:rRNA from 1 species
UCUGGUCCAUUUGGAUCCGUGAGGUGCGUCCCUCCUUGGGUGGAGCUUGUGUGGCAUUAGGUUGUCGCGCAGGGGAUGCUCAUCGUUUACUGUGAAAAAAUCAGCGCGUUCAAAGCAGGCUUAUGCCGUUGAAUGUAUUAGCAUGGAAUAAUAAGAUAGGACCUUGGUACUAUUUUGUUGGUUUGCGCACCGAGGUAAUGAUUAAUAGGGACAGUUGGGGGUAUUCGUAUUCCAUUGUCAGAGGUGAAAUUCUUGGAUUUCUGGAAGACGAACUACUGCGAAAGCAUUUACCAAGGAUGUUUUCAUUAAUCAAGAACGAAAGUUAGGGGAUCGAAGAUGAUUAGAUACCAUCGUAGUCA